UACGAAGGUGGCAAGCGUUACUCGGAAUUACUAGGCGUAAAGGGCAGGUAGGUGGUUCGAUAAGUCUGUUGUGUAAGCUCCCGGCUUAACUGGGAGAGGUCAACGGAAACUAUCGGACUUGAGUAUAGGAGAGGUUACUGGAAUUCCCGGUGUAGCGGUGAAAUGCGCAGAGAUCGGGAGGAACACCAAUGGCGAAAGCAGGUAACUGGACUAUUACUGACACUCAGCUGCGAAAGCUAGGGGAGCAAACAGG
rnacentral:rRNA from 1 species